AGUGGCGCACGGGUGCGUAACACGUGGCUGACCUGCCUCCAAGAGGGGAAUAACCGCCCGAAAGGGUGGCUAAUAGCCCAUAAGCUCCCGGCACUAGAGGGCGGGGAGAAAAGCUGAGGCGCUUGGAGAGGGGGCUGCGGCUCAUCAGGUAGAUGGUGGGGUAACGGCUCACCAUGCCGACGACGAGUAGGGGGUCUGAGAGGAUGAUCCCCCACACUAGGACUGAGACACGGCCCAGACUCCUACGGGAGGCAGCAGUGAGGAAUAUUGCACAAUGGGGGCAACCCUGAUGCAGCGACGCCGCGUGGGUGAUGAAGGGCUUCGGCUCGUAAAACCCUUUUCUGUGUGACGAGAACGGACGGUAGCACAGGAAUAAGCCUCGGCUAACUACGUGCCAGCAGCCGCGGUAAAACGUAGGAGGCAAGCGUUAUCCGGAGUUACUGGGCGUAAAGAGCGUGUAGGCGGCAGUGUAAGUGGCUUGUGAAAGCGCCCGGCUAAACUGGGCGAGGACAGGUCAGACUGCACCGCUAGAGGACGAUAGAGGGGUGCGGAAUUCCGGGUGUAGCGGUGAAAUGUGUAGAGAUCCGGAGGAACACCAGUGGUGCAGACGGCGCCCUGGGUCGUACCUGACGCUGAGACGCGAAAGCGUGGGGAGCCAACGGGACUAGAGACCCCGGUAGUCCACGCUGUAAACGAUGCAGACUGGGUGUCC
rnacentral:rRNA from 1 species